CCCUUAGACGUUCUGGGCCGCACGCGCGCUACACUGACCAGUGCAACAAGCAUCCGUCCUUGGCCGACAGGCUCGGGCAAUCUUUGAACGCUGGUCGUGAUGGGGAUAGACUUUUGCAAUUUUUGGUCUUCAACGAGGAAUUCCUAGUAAACGCAAGUCAUCAACUUGCAUUGAUUACGUCCCUGCCCUUUGUACACACCGCCCGUCGCACCUACCGAUUGAAUGGUCCGGUGAAGCCUCCGGAUUGGCGCGCACCUCGGUGCCGCCGAGAAGUUGGCUAAACCUUACCAUUUAGAGGAAGGUGAGGUCGUAACA
rnacentral:rRNA from 1 species